rnacentral:rRNA from 1 species
AGUGAGUGGCGAACGGGUGAGUAACACGUGGACAACCUGCCUCAAGGCUGGGGAUAACAUUUGGAAACAGAUGCUAAUACCGAAUGAAACUUAGUGUCGCAUGAUACGAAGUUAAAAGGCGCUUUGGCGUCACCUAGAGAUGGAUCCGCGGUGCAUUAGUUAGUUGGUGGGGUAAAGGCCUACCAAGACAAUGAUGCAUAGCCGAGUUGAGAGACUGAUCGGCCACAUUGGGACUGAGACACGGCCCAAACUCCUACGGGAGGCUGCAGUAGGGAAUCUUCCACAAUGGGCGAAAGCCUGAUGGAGCAACGCCGCGUGUGUGAUGAAGGCUUUCGGGUCGUAAAGCACUGUUGUAUGGGAAGAACAGCUAGAAUAGGGAAUGAUUUUAGUUUGACGGUACCAUACCAGAAAGGGACGGCUAAAUACGUGCCAGCAGCCGCGGUAAUACGUAUGUCCCGAGCGUUAUCCGGAUUUAUUGGGCGUAAAGCGAGCGCAGACGGUUGAUUAAGUCUGAUGUGAAAGCCCGGAGCUCAACUCCGGAAUGGCAUUGGAAACUGGUUAACUUGAGUGCAGUAGAGGUAAGUGGAACUCCAUG